GACUCCUACGGGAGGCAGCAGUAGGGAAUUCUUCCGCAAUGGCACGCAAAGUCUGACGGAGCACCGCCGCGUGAGUGAAGAAGGUUUUCGGAUCGUAAAACUGCUGUUGUCAGAGAAGAACAAGUGGUAGAGUAACUGCUCCAGCCUAGACGGUUCGACCAAAAGCCCG
rnacentral:rRNA from 1 species